rnacentral:rRNA from 1 species
GACGAACGCUGGCGGCGUGCUUAACACAUGCAAGUCGAACGGAAAGGCCCUGCUUUUGUGGGUUGCUCGAUUGGCGAACGGGUGAGUAACACGUGAGUAACCUGCCCUUGUCUUUGGGAUAACUUCUGGAAACUGGGGCUAAUACCGGAUAGGAGCUCCGGCUGCAUGGUGGUGUUUGGAAAGUUUCGGCUGUUGGGGAUGGACUCGCGGCUUAUCAGCUUGUUGGUGGGGUAGUGGCUUACCAAGGCUUUGACGGGUAGCCGGCCUGAGAGGGUGACCGGCCACAUUGGGACUACGAUACGGCGCAGACUCGUACGGUAGGCAGUGGUGGGGAAUAUUGCAGAAUGGGGGGAAGCCUGAGGUAGAGGCGCCGCGUGCGGGAUGACGGGUUUCGGGUUGUAAACAGCUUUCGACUGUGACGAAGAGUGAGUGACGGUAAUGGGUAAAGAAGCACCGGCUAACUACGUG